UACGGAGGGGACUAGCGUUGUUCGGAAUUACUGGGCGUAAAGCGCACGUAGGCGGAUUUGUAAGUCAGGGGUGAAAUCCCGAGGCUCAACCUCGGAACUGCCUUUGAUACUGCAAAUCUCGAGUCCGGAAGAGGUGAGUGGAAUUCCUAGUGUAGAGGUGAAAUUCGUAGAUAUUAGGAAGAACACCGGUGGCGAAGGCGGCCUCAGUCGGUCCGUAGUGACGCA
rnacentral:rRNA from 1 species